rnacentral:rRNA from 1 species
AACGAACGCUGGCGGCAUGCCUAACACAUGCAAGUCGAACGAGACCUUCGGGUCUAGUGGCGCACGGGUGCGUAACGCGUGGGAACCUGCCCUUAGGUUCGGAAUACCUCCCCGAAAGGGGUGCUAAUACCGGAUAAUGUCUUCGGACCAAAGAUUUAUCGCCUUUGGAUGGGCCCGCGUUGGAUUAGCUAGUUGGUAGGGUAAAAGCCUACCAAGGCGACGAUCCAUAGCUGGUCUGAGAGGAUGAUCAGCCACACUGGGACUGAGACACGGCCCAGACUCCUACGGGAGGCAGCAGUGGGGAAUAUUGGACAAUGGGCGAAAGCCUGAUCCAGCAAUGCCGCGGGAGUGAUGAAGGCCUUAGGGUUGUAAAGCUCUUUUACCCGGGAUGAUAAUGACAGUACCGGGAGAAUAAGCGCCGGCUAACUCCGUG